UUGAUCUCCUUCGAUCUCCUCGUAGAUGCGUGAUGGCUGAUUUUGCGAAAGCCCAGCUUCUUAAGUACGGUUGGAAAGAAGGCCAGGGACUUGGUAAAAAUGAAAAUGGCAUCACGCAAGCAUUGAAGCCGAGAUUGAAAUUUGAUACCACGGGCAUGGGUCAUGAUCCGGGUAAAGAGUUUUCUUGCAACUGGUGGGAAUCCAUGUACAAUAAGGCACUGAAUAACGUCUCGGUAAAUAGCAACGUCGAUGGAAUUUCCGUCGCAUCGGUCAAAGAUACUUCAGUUGAUAUUAUGAGCAAGCCAGGAUUAACGAGUGGCAAAAAGGAUGGGAAAUAUGCUAGUUUUUUGAGAGCCUCCGUAUUACAAGAUGGUCGUCUCUUUCCAGAAAGUGCGUCUGGUGAAGCCACGAAUGAGGAAAUUGAAAAUAAAACACCAUUUUCAAAUCUUACAGACGAGAAACUUUUUAAAAUAUGUGGCGGCAGGACUGCACAUAAAGGAGCCAGGUUCCAGUUAACGAUGAAAGGGAAGCUAAGAAGAAUAGCGCUGCAGGACAAGGAAUUAUUGGACAGUAUGAUGCCUAAUACGUCGAAGCAAGUGUCUUAUCAAGACACGUCUGGUCGAGUAAGUCUUACAAAUGGACUUUCGAACCAGAAUGACAUUCCAGACUCUCUUGAAACGGAUGAUAAUGCCAAUGCAAUAUCACCUGCAUUGCCCAUGAUACGACACGUUAAUAUCAAGCCAUCAAAAAAUGCAAUAAAAAAGCAGAGGAAAUCUAUAAAUGACUUAUCAAAUCGAUUGAUCGCUACAUGCAAAAUUGAGGAGGGAUCUGAAGAGCCAUCACCUUAUACUACCGAAUUUACCUAUAAGAAAUUAGAAAAAAUUGAUAGAAAGCAAAGUAAAGCUGAUAAGAAAACUGAAAAUGCUGACGAUGAUAAAUCAGCUGAGGGAAAACAGCUACUAAAUGAAUUUAAUGAAUUGCAAAAGAAGAAAAAACGUGUUCCUUUUAGUUGGUCGUCCGUUUCGGAAGAUGUUUUGAACGGUGACCUCGAAAAUGACACGCAAGAUGACUUUCAAGUUAUGACCCGAAGAAAGAGGAAAAGGCAUGCAAAGAAGAAGCAUCAGGAUGCAGAUGUAGGUACAGAUAAACCUGAAAACACCCCAACCUUGAUUCAAGACGCACCAGUGAAAAAGAAAUUGAAACAUGCGAAAAGGAGGAAAGGAAAUGACGACACUUUGGCCAAGAUGUUAAAUUGUGUUAACAUAUCAAAUGAACUAUCAGUGAAUGCAAAGAGCAAUAAAGAAGGAGCUUUAGAUAAGGAAGAUUGGUCUACAAAGCGAAAGGCUAAAAAUAAGAAAAAUAAGAAAAAAAAUUCAAAGUCAUUGAGACAAGUAACAAAACCUGUUAUAGACAAUUUGGCCAAUAAAUUCAAGGCUUUCUAUUUCAAACCCAGCAACGAAGUUAUGACAAAGUCUAGUAUAGGCCAUCUGAUGAAAAACUUGAUGGCGGUGAAUCUCACUGAAAAUGUGACCGAGUCGAAAAAGAAGUGCAAAAAACGGAGAGGAUCUUGUAAGAAGAAGAAACAGAAGAAUAAGGGGAGCUUGACCGAGAAAAAGAUAGACGGGUAAUAUUUUGUUGCCGUAUGUUUUUGAACGUGCACUCCGGACAUUACUGUUGCAAGUGCAUGGGAACGCUAACACUGCGGGGUCAUCAUGGUUCUAAACUAUUAAUGAACUGUAGCCUAUGUAUUAAUGCAUCUUUAGGUAUACACUUUGUAAUUGGUCCAGGCAGACCAAUCGACUGAUCAAACGAAUGUCCCCCAAAAGCUAUAUUGUACAUAAAAAGCCCUCAUAAUAUGAAACACAUUGCGUUAGAAACUGCUAGACCUUGUUUCGCAAGGAUUGAAAUAACAACUAAUGCUUUAUUUUCUACUGUAUAAACGGCAAAUAAAGAAGGAACCUUAUACAAAAUGAGCCUAUCGUGCUGCCUCGUUGUCUUCAUAGACACCUCUUCUUUUUUUAUUAAUUUAAGUACAAGUAUUCCAAUCGAUUUAUUCGUAUGGUACAAGAGUACAUACUCGACCAAAUACAUACACAACUCCAUGGGCGUUUAGCGCAUGUCUCUUAGGAUGGUUAAAAAUAAAUAAAUAUAUAUAUAUAUGUACAUAUACAUAAAUUUUCACGCCGAGAUUCUUGACACAAGUAGCAAAAAUUUCACGUCUUUAUGCGGUUCAUAAUAAGCGCGUUUACGCCGCGCCGAUACAUUCAUCGAAUGACAGUGUCCUAAUAUGAUAUAAUCCGAGCCGCCCAUCCUGUUCGCCAUAAAUAUAGCACCAAAUUCAAUAACAAUCGCCCUUCCACCAUUUGCAUUAAUGAGCACUCAUCCUAACUGCCUUGACCUUGAUUAAGGUCAUAUGAAAUAGUCAUUCUAUACAUAUCAAGACGUGAAAGUAUUUAUGACAUUUUUCUGGGUGCACGGAAUCAUUUGAAACGUUAACACGUGAUUAUGGAGGCCCUAAGGAAGAACGCGAUGUUCGUGAAAU